rnacentral:rRNA from 1 species
CAGCCGCCGCGGUAAUACGAAGGGGGCUAGCGUUGCUCGGAAUGACUGGGCGUAAAGGGCGCGUAGGCGGCGAUCAAAGUCAGGCGUGAAAUUCCUGGGCUCAACCUGGGGGCUGCGCUUGAUACUUGGUUGCUUGAGUGGGGAAGAGGGUCGUGGAAUUCCCAGUGUAGAGGUGAAAUUCGUAGAUAUUGGGAAGAACACCGGUGGCGAAGGCGGCGACCUGGUCCUUGACUGACGCUGAGGCGCGAAAGCGUGGGGAGCAAACAGGAUUAGAGACCCCGGUAGUCCCUGUCUCUUAUAC